UGAAGACACCCGGGGUCACAGGGGAGCUGGUCUGACAGAUGUGGAGUCAGGCAAAGCAGAACAACUUGAGAGCCCAGAGGCCCGGCAGAGCACCCAGCUGAUGCCAGAGAAAGAUCCAGGUUUCAGCAAUCCAUGAAAAAACUGAGGCACAAGAGAUUGAGAGACGUGUUUAUGGACACAUAGCUGAGAGAUGGCAGAGAUGGGAUUCAAACCCAGGCAGCCUGGCUCCAGUGUCAAUGCUAACGUUGCCUCCCGUGUAGUGGAGAGAGCCACAGCAGACAGGACCUGAGAGGGGAGAUGACCAAGAUGAAGCAGCCUGAGAGAGAAAGGAGUAGAACCAGGAGAGGAUGCCAUCGUGGAAGCUAGAGAGAAGUGCUUAGA